rnacentral:rRNA from 1 species
UACGUAGGGUGCAAGCGUUGUCCGGAAUUAUUGGGCGUAAAGGGCUCGUAGGCGGUUUGUCGCGUCGGGAGUGAAAUCCACUGGCUUAACUGGUGGCUUGCUUUCGAUACGGGCAGACUGGAGGUAUGCAGGGGAGAACGGAAUUCCUGGUGUAGCGGUGAAAUGCGCAGAUAUCGGGAGGAACACCAGUAGCGAAGGCGGCACUCUGGGCCGGAACUGACGCUGAGGAGCGAAAGCGUGGGGAGCGAACAGG